UACGGAGGGUGCAAGCGUUGUUCGGAUUUACUGGGCGUAAAGCGCGCGCAGGUGGGUGUGCAAGUCGGAAGUGAAAUCCCAGGGCUCAACCCUGGGGCUGCUCCCGAAACGGCACGCCUAGGGACUGGUAGAGGCUGGUAGAAUUCCCGGUGUAGCGGUGGAAUGCGUAGAGAUCGGGAAGAAUACCUGUGGCGAAGGCGGCCAGCUGGGCCAGAUCCGACACUGAGGCGCGAAAGCUAGGGGAGCAAACAGG
rnacentral:rRNA from 1 species